rnacentral:rRNA from 1 species
GACGAACGCUGGCGGCGUGCCUAAUACAUGCAAGUUGAGCGCUGAAGGUUGGUACUUGUACCAACUGGAUGAGCAGCGAACGGGUGAGUAACGCGUGGGGAAUCUGCCUUUGAGCGGGGGACAACAUUUGGAAACGAAUGCUAAUACCGCAUAAAAACUUUAAACACAAGUUUUAAGUUUGAAAGAUGCAAUUGCAUCACUCAAAGAUGAUCCCGCGUUGUAUUAGCUAGUUGGUGAGGUAAAGGCUCACCAAGGCGAUGAUACAUAGCCGACCUGAGAGGGUGAUCGGCCACAUUGGGACUGAGACACGGCCCAGAAUCCUACGGGAGGCAGCAGUAGGGAAUCUUCGGCAAUGGACGAAAGUCUGACCGAGCAACGCCGCGUGAGUGAAGAAGGUUUUCGGAUCGUAAAACUCUGUUGGUAGAGAAGAACGUUGGUGAGAGUGGAAAGCUCAUCAAGUGACGGUAACUACCCAGAAAGGGACGGCUAACUACGUG